GAUGAACGCUAGCGGCAGGCUUAAUACAUGCAAGUUGAGGGGCAGCAUGAUAUACGCGAGUAUAUUGAUGGCGACCGGCGGACGGGUGAGUAAUAGGUAGGAGACCUACCUCAUACAGGGGGAUAGCAUAGAGAAAUCUGUGGUAAUACCCCAUGAGGUUAUAUGAAUAGAGGCAUAUAAUCAAAGCAUAAGUGAUUAUGCGGUAUGAGAGGGGCCUACUGACCAUUAGCUAGUUGGUGAGGUAAGGGCUCACCAAGGCGAAGAUGGUUAGGGGUUUUGAGAGAGAGACCCCCCACAUUGGAACUGAGAGACGGUCCAGACUCCUACGGGAGGCAGCAGUAGGGAAUAUUGGGCAAUGGGCGAAAGCCUGACCCAGCCAUGCCGCGUGAAGGAAGACGGCCUUAUGGGUUUAAACUUCUUUACUACGCGAAUAGAGGUUAGUACGAGAUACUAAUAGGAAGGUAGUGUAGUAAAAGCACCGGUAACUCCGUG
rnacentral:rRNA from 1 species